rnacentral:rRNA from 1 species
AUUGAACGCUGGCGGCAUGCCUUACACAUGCAAGUCGAACGGUAACAGGUCUUCGGAUGCUGACGAGUGGCGAACGGGUGAGUAAUACAUCGGAACGUGCCCGAUCGUGGGGGAUAACGAGGCGAAAGCUUUGCUAAUACCGCAUACGAUCUACGGAUGAAAGCGGGGGAUCUUCGGACCUCGCGCGGACGGAGCGGCCGAUGGCAGAUUAGGUAGUUGGUGGGAUAAAAGCUUACCAAGCCGACGAUCUGUAGCUGGUCUGAGAGGAUGAUCAGCCACACUGGGACUGAGACACGGCCCAGACUCCUACGGGAGGCAGCAGUGGGGAAUUUUGAACAAUGGGCGAAAGCCUGAUCCAGCCAUGCCGCGUGCAGGAUGAAGGCCUUCGGGUUGUAAACUGCUUUUGUACGGAACGAAAAGCCUCUUUCUAAUAAAGAGGGGUCAUGACGGUACCGUAAGAAUAAGCACCGGCUAACUGCGUGCCAGCAGCCGCCGCAG